rnacentral:rRNA from 1 species
UACGUAGGGUCCGAGCGUUGUCCGGAUUUAUUGGGCGUAAAGAGCUCGUAGGCGGUUCCGUAAGUCAGAUGUGAAAACUCAGGGCUCAACCCGGAGACGCCAUCUGAUACUGCGGUGACUUGAGUCUGGUAGGGGAACACGGAAUUCCUGGUGUAGCGGUGAAAUGCGCAGAUAUCGGGAGGAACACCGGUGGCGAAGGCGGUUCUCUGGGCCUUACCUGACGCUGAGACGCGAAAGCGUGGGGAGCGAACAGG